rnacentral:lncRNA from 1 species
AUGGUCCCGUUGAGCUUUAGACGGCGGGAGUCAGGAUUUCCUGGUGCUGGCUGCGGACACAGAUUCCUGACGCUGCAGCACUCCAGUGUGAGAAUAGGGGAAAUCGAUGACUUCUGGGGGAUAAGUUAUUGCUUUUUGUUUACUUUGGCCUUUGUUUGUAAGCCACGCAAUGCGCUCUGCGUUUCUUUAACUCUCCCAUCACAAGUUUUCCGGGCUGGUGGAAGGUGCUCACGUCUCCCCAAGUGCCUGUUUGCCAUUCCUGAUGUGAUGUCGCUCCAGUGCUGCUGUUGGCUGCCUGCAGGAUUGGAAACAACAUUAAGACCAAGAUUCACCCUACAUAGCCACCUGAGGGAUUCUGAGGGAAUGGUCUUUGCAUGGUGAAUGAAGGAAGAUGAUUUUUGGCUGUGUCUUUCACUGUGGUUCUUCUAUGAAGGGAGUCUGAAUCAUUCCUAAUCUAAAAGGGAUGAAAUUCUUCCUUUAGUGUAAUUUGUGUGUUCAUUAAAGCAGCUGUCCUGGGUCAGACCAAGGUCUGCACCAGCUCAGUGUCCUGUCUCCAGCAGUGGCUGUGAUAAACACUGAGAAGCAAAGCCAGGAAAAGCAAAUGGGAUGCUUCCCUGGAACAUCCUCCCAACCUCUGCCUUCAGCUUGGGAAUUUCUUCAGCUGCAUGGGUCUUCCAUGCAUUUAGUAAUCCUCAAUGCAUAUCUCUUCCAAGAACUAGCCCGAUCUCCCCUUAAACUGAGCUAUAUUUCACAAUUGGCACAGCAUCUGCUGGGGGGGACACCAAGUGCCACCUCCAUGUGGGUGUUUCAAACCCUACUGACAGGAGAUUCUCUGAGGUCUUUAAUGACCCAGAGAGAUGUAUGUGAACACAGCUGAUACCUCUCAGCUCCUUCCAUCCCAGGAAGAAGCUGGAGAGGUGCCAGGUCACACAUAUUGCCCACACCCUGUGCACACCCAGGGGCUCUGGGGUUUGUGCUGCCCAGGCUCCUGGCCAGCUCACUUGAAGCAAACAGUCACUUUGCCAGGAUACUGAGAAAACAGACAUUGUGAAAGAGCAGUGGGAAUCCUGGCUGAGGUCUCCUCUGCUUUGCCCAUCAGCUCCAGUCAAGCACAGGCCAUUGGUGCCAUUUUGAGCUGUGUUGUGGAAACGCCAGUGUCCAGCCUUGCACCUUGCUCAUUGUCACCCUAAACGACUGAUUUGCCAUUGUAGCUUGUCCUCUGCUCUGCUUCAUCACUGUGGACCUGUCUGACAAUCAUAAAGUCAUAGAAUGGAUUGGGUUGGAAGGGAAGCUUAAAUAUCAUCUUGUUCCAACCCCUCUGCCAUGGGCAGGGACCCUUUCCACUGGACCAGGUUGCCCAAAGCCCCAUUGAACAUGGUCUUGAACACUGUCAGGUAUGGGGUACCUGCAGCUUCUCUGCACAACCUGUGCCAGUGCCUCAUCACUCUCACAGUAAAGAACUCCCAAUGCUCUAAUCUAAGCCUUCUCUAUUUCAGUUUAAAGCCAUUCCUCCUUGUCUUAUCACUACAUGCCCUAGUGAAAAGGGCUGUGGCUGACCCUGCCUGAGCAUCCAUGGACUUGAAGAAUGGGGUUUUUGGUGCCAGCUCUCUCAUGGCCUUGCUGUCACCCUUGGCUCUGGCUUGCUGUCCUCUGCAGAGCAUUUGGCUCUGACAUGCCUUGUGGUCUCCCCAGUGCAUUACCAAGUUGUCAUGUCAUUCUGGAUUGACAAACAAAUCCAGGUAUAUUGCAGCAGUGUCCUCCCUUCUCCUCCCCAGCUCUACUGCAGCUACAGCUCUUGCACAUCAGCGACUGGUCAAGCUGACAGUUUCAGUCCUUGGCCAGGCUCUUUCCUUCAUCCACUGCAUCCUCUCUGUGAAUAGCACAGCCUGACUCAUAUGACUUGGCUGUGAACAAGCCUAAUCACUUCUAGACAUAAAAUAAGGAAGUCUUAAAAACUUUGAGUUUCAGCAUGUCAGAGACAUAAAGAGAAUGAUGACUUUGAAGCCAGGUGAGAAAUGCCAGAGAAUUAUGGAUCUGUUAAUGUUUACUGUGACAUUGUUUCAUUAUUUCAUCAGUUCUCACUUGUGGAAAUUAAGGGCAUGAUAAGGUGAUGAUCUUACUGUCUGCACAGAAGUAUAUGCAAAGCAAUUAGUCUUUCAAGAAAUCUAUUUUGAAAUGGUCUUGGAAGCUGUAUUUUCUUACAGUUCUGAUGCAUUGGUAAGCAUCUGAGUUUCUGGAGUUAAUUUACAGUUAGGGGAUUAAGAGAGACGUGCUUUUUUAUCUUAUUACAAAUUCUUGCCUAAAGUGCAAUGAACGGAUGAGAUUUAUUUGCUAGUUUGAAUUGCUUCGUCCUGCUCACCCUCCUUGCUCCCUGUUACAAAUCCUCUGGCCAGGUUGCUAGGCAGAAGGGAAAUAGUGUCAUUUGUUAAACAAAGCAGACAAUGUCUUUCUUUGUAGGCUUUGAACAUUCUUUCAGGGGUGUGAAAUCCGUGUUAACAAUCAGCUCACAGUAAAAAGGUCCCAGUUAAAUAUUACCACAAGAGCUGUGAGGUUUGUGUACUAUCUGAGGACAUGAAAGAUGCCAUUUCCUGAAAAUUUACCUGGAUCCUUCAACUGGUCAAGGAGCUUGUUGCCAACGUUUUCUGACAAGGAGAAGCAGAAACAUGACCCAUGCUGUGUGCAGGAGAGGAAGUCACAGGACAGACACCUGGUAGUGAGGGUGACACAGGUCAAGCUUGUGUUCAUUUUUUUGUUCCCUUGUCCUCUGUGUUUUUAUGAUAUUUUUAUUCUGGUAAUUUUAGAUUUUUUUAAUUUUUUUUUUUAUUUUUAAUUCCACUAGAGCUAGGAAUAAGGAGAAAUACAGUUUGUUUAAAGAUAAAUCUUCUUAUAAGCUGUCCUAGAAUAGUCCCCCAGUGCCCUCUAAACACUACCUACUGCUGGGGUGCCCUGUGCAGUCUGAGGUCCUAGAUGGCCUUUUGUGUUCUGCUGAAAGACAUCUUCAGGGACUGAUGGAGAGGGAGACACUAGGAAAUGCCUUCUUAUAAAAACCUGUAUUUUGAGUGGUUUUUUCUUGCUGAAGCUUGCCUUUUCCCUGCCUAGGCUGCAUUGGAGGGAGGCAGUUCUUUGUGUUUUAAGGGGAUGACUGCAGGAUAGACACAGCUAUUCAAAGGACUCAUAUCUCACCUUUCAGAAGUGAAAGAAUGCAGAUCUUUCCUAUGCUCAGCUGUAUCUGACCCAAAGUUCUGUUAUGGUCAGCAGGUAUUUGCUGAGUGGUGACAUCACCAUGUACAGGGAAUGUUUUACCUCUCCAGCCUGGGCCAUACCCAGGGUGUGACAGAAGAAAGGAAUUUGAAUAAACUCUCCCUUUCCAUCUGCA